AGAAAUCUUGCUUCCAAGUAUCAAGUUUUGAUCCUUUUCUGAAAAAAAUUGUGUCUAGCUAGUGCAUUGGGAAGGGUAAUUUUCUGUAGGGUUUUCAUAAUAAUCAAGACAAGACAAACCGGAAACAAAAUUACAGGUAAACCGGCAAAUACUUAAAGCAGGUGAACCAUAUUUAUAAUAUUGCUUUAUUAAAAAAUACCUAAAACUAAAUGUUUAAUUUUAGAUCUAGUUG